CCCUUAGAUGUUCUGGGCUGCACGCGCGCUACACUGAUGCGAUCAACAAGUUUUUCCUAUGUCGAUAGACACGGGUAAUCUUUUGAACUCGCAUCGUGAUGGGGAUAGAUUAUUGUAAUUAUUAAUCUUCAACGGGGAAUUCCUAGUAGGUGCAAAUCAUCAGUUUGCAUCGAUUACGUCCCUGCCCUUUGUACACACCGCCCGUCGCUGCUACCGAUUGGUUGAUCUGGUGAAUUAUUCGGACUGCCGGCUGAAGGGGUUUCCUCAUCUGCCAGCGGAAAGUCUUGUUAACCCUAUCAACUAGAGGAAGCAGAAGUCGUAACA
rnacentral:rRNA from 1 species